rnacentral:rRNA from 1 species
AGAAUUUUUCACAAUGGGCGAAAGACUGAUGGAGCGACGCCGCGUGGGGGAUGAAUGGCUUCGGCCCGUAAACCCCUGUCAUUCGGGAUCAAAUUUGGCAACCUAAUACGUUGUCAGUUGAUAGUACUGACAGAGGCAGGGACGGCUAACUCUGUGCCAGCAGCCGCGGUAAUACAGAGGUCCCAAGCGUUGUUCGGAUUUACUGGGCGUAAAGGGCGCGUAGGUGGUGGGCUAAGUCUGGUGUGAAAGCUCUGAUCUCAACUCAGAAAUGGCAUUAGAUACUAGUCCGCUUGAGGAUUGGAGGGGAGACUGGAAUUCUCGGUGUAGCAGUGAAAUGCGUAGAUAUCGAGAGGAACACCAGUGGCGAAGGCGAGUCUCUAGACAAUUCCUGACACUGAGGCGCGAAAGCUAGGGGAGCAAAC